GGAAGGCGAGACGGAGGUGGGCCUCGCCCAGAAGGGCGGGGGCAGGUCCUCCGUCUCCGUUACGUCCGACGCACUUCAUCACGCGCUGCGGACGCCGCAGCCGGUCCGGUCGACAAAGAGUCCGCCUUGAGGGCGGGCGCCGGCAGGUCGCGCCCCCUCCACCGGAGGAAGGCCCGUCGGUAGCCAGCCCGCCCGUGGCGAGACGCCGGACCGAGGCGAACGGUCUCCGUCCCGGAGACUCGCCGUCCCCUUCCUUAAUAGGCAGCGAGCCCCGCCGGCAGGUGCGGCGCGGCCUGGCGGAGCCCACUCUCGCGUAGUGGGCCCGCGCGCCGCGCACCUCGGUGGCCGGUGGGCGCUCGCGGAGGGGAAUCAGACGGCUGGCGGCGAGUAGGUCGGUCACCCACCUGACCCGUCUUGAAACACGGACCAAGGAGUCUAACAUGCGCGCGAGUCGCGGGGUCUUGCGUAGGCCCCGGGGCGCAGUGAAAGCGAGGGGGCCGCCCGGCCCCCCAGCGGUUGGGACCCCGGCGGUGGCUCGCCGGGGGCACCAACGACGCGUCCCCGUCCCGCCUCGGCUGGGGCGCAGUCGGAGCGCACACGUUGGGACCCGAAAGAUGGUGAACUAUGGCCGGGCAGGACGAAGCCAGA
rnacentral:rRNA from 1 species